rnacentral:rRNA from 4 species
UAGGGAAUCUUCCGCAAUGGGCGAAAGCCUGACGGAGCAAUGCCGCGUGAGUGAAGAAGGCCUUCGGGUCGUAAAACUCUGUUAUAAGAGAAGAACAAAUUGUAGAGUAACUGCUACAGUCUUGACGGUAUCUUAUCAGAAAGCCACGGCUAACUACGUGCCAGCAGCCGCGGUAAUACGUAGGUGGCAAGCGUUGUCCGGAUUUAUUGGGCGUAAAGGGAGCGCAGGUGGUUUCUUAAGUCUGAUGUGAAAGCCCACGGCUUAACCGUGGAGGGUCAUUGGAAACUGGGAAACUUGAGUACAGAAGAGGAAUGUGGAACUCCAUGUGUAGCGGUGGAAUGCGUAGAUAUAUGGAAGAACACCAGUGGCGAAGGCGACAUUCUGGUCUGUUACUGACACUGAGGCUCGAAAGCGUGGGGAGCAAACAGG